rnacentral:rRNA from 1 species
GUGGGCUUCUGACUGAGGGCUCUGGGUCCACCUCCCACCCGUGUUUAUUGUACCUUGUUGCUUCGGUGCGCCCGCCUCACGGCCGCCGGGGGGCUUCUGCCCCCGGGCCCGCGCCCACCGAAGACACCAUUGAACUCUGUCUGAAGAUUGCAGUCUGAGCAUAAACUAAAUAAGUUAAAACUUUCAACAACGGAUCUCUUGGUUCCGGCAUCGAUGAAGAACGCAGCGAAAUGCGAUAACUAAUGUGAAUUGCAGAAUUCAGUGAAUCAUCGAGUCUUUGAACGCACAUUGCGCCCCCUGGUAUUCCGGGGGGCAUGCCUGUCCGAGCGUCAUUGCUGCCCUCAAGCACGGCUUGUGUGUUGGGCUCCGUCCCCCCGGGGACGGGCCCGAAAGGCAGCGGCGGCACCGAGUCCGGUCCUCGAGCGUAUGGGGCUUUGUCACCCGCUCUGUAGGCCCGGCCGGCGCCAGCCGACAACCCAUCAUCCUUUUCAGGUUGACCUCGGAUCAGGUAGGGAUACCCGCUGAACUUAAGCAUAUCAAUAAGCGGAGGAA